AUCAAGAAGAAGUACUCCUACCCGUCCGCUGCAGAGAAAGAAAAAGAGUUUCCAGAGGGACUGAGGAAGUUUAUUUCUCGGAGUUCAUACUUUAGACGUGGCCCCAAUAAAGAUGGCCGCUUGGACCCUGACACCUCUCAAAUCAUUGUCUGUUUCAGGGAGCUUUGUGCUCUGUGCUGGAUGCUUCAUGUCAGGGACCAACUGUCUAUUUACUGCAGGCGAUAUCAGGUCAUUAGACAGCAGUGGAGCAACGAACCGGUAUUGCUUUAGUCUUUUAUGUGUAACUACUGUAUUUACCACUUCCAAUAUUCUGUACAUUUUACUGUAACUGCGUUUUUCUUUAGAAUUCUGGAAAUGCAGAGGUGACAUCUGCCGCUGUGGAAGCUCUCCACUGGGUUUGCCGUUUGCUGCCUUUCUCUCAUUUCCUCAAUGCUGAAGAAGAUCUUCAAGAUAUUCUUCUCAGUCUUGCGGCUGAAUUGCCUCCUGUGUCAUUGGUACCAUUUCCCCCCCUUAAUAGAAAUGUUCUUUCAUAGAAAUGUAUUUGCAAAACAAAACAAAGCAUUGCUCUUUGUUGGUUUUUCUGUGUGUCAGGUGGCAGAUGCCCUGGUUAAAGCCUUCCCAGAGGAGGAAGAGUCUGUGAGAGUCUCUCUGAGAGAAAAAUACAACUUACUGCUGCAGAGAUUGAGGCAAUGCAGCGUGUUAGAAGAGGAAAAAGGGGAAGAAAGUGAGUUGAUGAUGGUUGUGAUUCAAGACAAAUUCCGGCUGAGAGGAAAACACUUGGCCCGUGUACAAAGGCACUUGGCUCCACCUGUGCUCCAGCUGUGGGAUAAAGAAGAGGAAGAAGACGACGACAGGGGAAGCAAACACAGGAUGGCUCUGUUACAGCAGCUGUCACUGGGCACAAGUGUGAGCACCAGCACUUUAAAUGACUGUGCCCUCGCCCCGAUGUGCAGCGAUGGAGACACAACAGACAACACAGGGAAGGCUGUCACUCCUGAUCCACAGAGUGGCACAGUGAGCUGGUAAGCUUGUACUGAGCAGUUUGUUGU
rnacentral:lncRNA from 1 species